CUGAUGAGCCGUGCUAGGUCCGCGCCCAGGAUCCUAACUGGCGAAACUCUGGGCCCCCAAAGCAGAGUACACAAACUUAGCCACUCGGCCACAGGGCCACCCACUGCUAUUAGAUUUUAUUCUUACUCCAUAAGAAGUACUCUGAGUAGGUAUUAUUUUAUUAUCCCCUCUGACAAAGGAAGUAACUUCCCUUAUGUCACGCCACACAGCUGGUAAGAGGUGGACGGGGACACAAACUCGAUGUCUCAGCUGCUAAAUGUUACAACAUUUCCUCCCACUCGCAGCCCCUGUGCUUGUUUGAGCAAGCUCUGGAGCACUGCCGCCCACUCUCUCACACACUGGGGUCCUGCCUGGCACUUCCCCUCCCUCUGGGCGGCCUCUGCCUAGAACAAGAAACCCAAAGAUCCUGUUCUAGGUACUGGGGUAGAGUGGUGACCGAGACAGAAUAAGGAUCCAGGUUCCCUUUGGGUUGACAGACGAUAAGCAGAUAAAUACAUAAUAAAACUUCAGACAGUGAUGAGUGCAAUAAGAGAAAUAAAGCAGAGUGAAAGCAGAAAGGAGUGGAGGAAGAUAAGGAAUUCAAGGAAGACCUCUCUGUGGAAGCGAGACCAGAGCAGAGACCAGGAAUAAGAGAGUGAGCCCGGUGGCACCCGGGGAAGCACAUUCCACACAGAGGGACCAGCAAGAGCAGCAGGAUGAGUUUAAGUGAGACGACAGAUGUGACAGUCUCGGUCUAUCAAAUCUGGACACCGAAUGUGAACACAAGGACCCUCUGAGGCGACUGCUCCUCACUGGCCUCUUGACCCUCUGAUAACUUGCAAAGAAGUGAGCAGCCACAGAAAGACGAGUACUAAACCUGACAUUUCCAAAGGUGCUGGGGUCCCACCCACGAGCACCACUGCAGGACGAGGCAGAAAGAGAAAGGAAAUACUUCCUUCAUGCAUCUGGUUCGAGCCAGGAGCACCUUACAUUUCAUGAUCUGUUUACUUGUGAGCCUGGGACAUGGCUUCUGUUGGCAGGACUGCCUCUCUCUUCUCAGGGGCCCCAUGAGGCAGUGGUGAGCCACACAGCCUUUGGAAUCCUGGUUCUGUCAUGUACUUGCUGUGUGAGUGCAGGCGCAUUUCUUACCUUUCUGAGCCUCAGUUUCCUCAUCUGUAAAAUAGGGGCAUUUUUAUAGCAACCCACAGGGGUGUUGUGAGAAUGAACAGGGACUAGCAGACAGUAAGAGCACAGUUAUAAACUGCCCACAUUCCAGAUGUCUGCCAUAUAAUAAGUGCUUGAUGUGUUUUGUGGAAUGAAAGCUCUAGAGCAAGGAAAUGCAGCAUGAAGAAUUUCAUACUUUGAGCUGCUACUAUUUCCAGGGGAUGUGCAGUGCUCACAGGGAGGGACACAGCCAUCGUCUUGCAACACCUGUGAGACAGGCAAGAGAGCUAAAUCCCGAAUCUGGCUCCUUGCUCCCGAGUCUGUUCUCAGCUCUUGUACUCAGAUGGAAAACGUGUCAAGCCAUUACCUUGAUCAGAACAGAUCCCGUGCCCGGUCUUUGCCUGAAGCUAGGAAGCAGACCAUUUGCUUCUGGCCUAGCCAUUGGCUCUCUCCCAGCUCCUGUACGGAGAGGACUCCUCUCUGGAGCUGUGUGUGGGCCUUGGACUCACCCCACCCCACCCCACCUCGCGCUUUGUGGCAGCCAUCUCUGUGAUCUGUGGAAAACCGUCUUAGAAUCAGGUGAGCCAAGCAGAAGAUAAAGCAGAGAUGUCAGCAGUUAGCCAGAUGCAAAACAUACCUUAAGUUUGUAUGUUCCAAAGGUGAGACCAGCAGGAACCAUCUUUGUUCACAAUUACCCAUGUAAUUCAGUUGGUUAGAAAAAUGGCAACAGGAAGCUCAUGGUCCUGGAAAGGAGAGGAUUUGAGGGGAAAAGGGGAGAACACCUCAAACAAAAGAACUUGGCCCUUGCGUGGCCACAACCGGCUGAUGGCUGGCUGCGGCUGCGGAGUGGGAGUGCAUUCGGAGUGGCUGGCGGGAGUAUCUGCUGGAUGAGGCCUCGGAAAGAGCCUCCCCAGCGCGCCCCUCCUGGCUGGCUCUAAUUCCAAGCACGCAUCAGCAUUCUGUUUGCUCUCCUGAGACCCGACCCUGGCAUGAAGAAAUAGUGGUGACCUUCAGACCUUGCCCUCGCUCUGUCUGCCUGUAUCUUGUUGUGCAACCUGAUGAAAUGCAGAUCGAUGGAUCUUCCACCUUCUGGCAACCCAGGCCCUGUCUGAGUUGAGAGUGGGGGAAAUGGAGAGUGUUUGUCCUCUGAAAGAUGGGGAGGUGACUGGGAGUGUCCCCUCCCCUCACUUCUACUUCCACUCCUUGGGCACUUUGUCCAGGCAGACCAGACUCAGCCAAGUGACCCAGAACAAGCAGAGUUACUAACCGUUGGUAAAUCAUCGGUUUACCAACCAUUGCUGAAGUGAGCAGCAGAUCUAGGCCAGAGCGGGGUUUUACACUGGAGGUCUCUGACAACGCUGUGCACGUGAACUCAGAGUGAAAGCGAGGUGUGAGGAUGCCCAAACUAAGGGUCCAAAGAGCUGGCUGAUAGUCCUUGGCAGUAAGGCUGUGAGCAAGCGCCAAACUUUCUCAGCAUCUGUUUUUCUUAUCUAUAAAACGAGGAUAAUAAUUCCUGCCACACCUAACUCACAGAGUUCUUAUGAAGCUCACAUUGAGCAGAUUUACAACAUAUGAUAUCAAGCGGUAGAAAGUACAUGGCUUCCCAUAUAUUUCCCUCAGAGGGUGGUUGUGAGGCUCAGUGGACAGUUAACUCAAUGACCAGCACACAGUAGACACUCAAUGAAUAAUUAUAAAUAAUUCUCUUUGUUGCUUGUAAGAAUUCUGUAUAUGCAAAUAUGAUCUUAAACCACAGAGCCAUAUAAAAUGCAAAUUAACUUCCUCUUUGUGUGUGCGCUUGUGUGUGUACAGAUAUAGAAAUAAAUUAAGAUAAAUAUCUAUUUAUAUUUAUUGAUCUGUUAACAGAUAGGGUUAACACAUGGUCCCACUGCCAUCUGUCCCAUCCCAGGCAUAUCUCCCAUCCAGGUGACUUUAGUAAUCCCCCUGCCUUCCUCCUUGCAUUUGGCUCCCCAGUUCAGCCCUACGCACAGUCUCUUCCUAGAACAUCAUUUUCAUCGCAUUGUCCCUGUUGAAGAGCAAUGUCUUUUAUGAGCAUAUGACUUCAGCACUCUACGGAUCGGUCUUGGAAGCAACCUCCCUUCUCUGCUCUCAGGACCAGCUGUCUCUUCUCCAUACCUCUGCUUAUUCCUUCAGCUAUCACUGCCACAUGGAACACUCUUGUCUUUUCUCUCUUCUCUCUUCUUUCUUAAAGUCCAUAUCAACUCCUUCCUUUAGGAAACUUCCUCUGACUUACCCCCCUCCCCAGAUCACUCAGCUUGUAUGGGCUCAGUGUGUGCUCUGUGGUCCAUAGACCAUAGAACCUAUGACUUUCUAAACAUUCCUUAAGCCAAGUGGCAAGGACUGGGUCUUCUGUUUCUUUUGGAUUCCUGGCCAAAAGUGGGAUGUGCUGUACAGAGGAAGCACUUCAGGGAGACUGUCCUUGACGAUGAGGCCCUCACCUAAUUCCAGUUUUCCUUCCUUAUCCAGAGGGGAUAUGUUCCAAGAACCCCAGUGGAUGCCUGAAACCGAGGAUAGUACCACAUCCUAUAUAUACUAUGUUUUUGCCUAUACCUACAUACCUAUGAUAAAGUUUAAUUUAUAAAUUAAGCACAGUAAGAGAUUAACUACUGUUCUAAUAAAAUAGAACAAUUAUA
ensembl:lncRNA